ACCUUCCUCCAUUCCUUCACCAACAUACCAAUGAACAAACGCCCUCUUAGCAUACAUAAGGUCAAACUUAUGGUCAAUGCGUGAAAACACUUCAGCAACAGCUGUGUUGUUGCUUAUCAUGCAAACUGCUCUUUGAACUUUAGCAAGAUCACCCCCUGGAACAACUGUUGGUGGUUGGUAGUUGAUUCCACACUUGAAACCAGUUGGGCACCUGAAAAAUUAACACAAAAGUUUCUUGAUUUUCUCAUGAAUAUUCUAAUGAAAUCUUGAAUAUCAUAAAGUGAACAAUUUUUUUUAGCAUUUUUCACAAAAUACCACCUACCCAUUUCGCAAAAUUCGAUUUUUAGUGAAAUGGCAUCAUCAAAUAAUGAUUUUUAUAGUGGGGAACAUUCAUAAAGCAAUCAUGCAAAAAAAAAACACUUUGAAAAGUGUAUUUCAUGAAAUGGGAGAUAAAAUAUCAGAAGGGUGAUCAUUUUAGCAAUUAAUCUUAAGAAGAAACACAAUUAAUGUAAACAAAUUAAACAGGUUGGGUUGAAAGAUCUCAACCCAACCUGGUGAUUUUAGGUUGGGUAUAAUUUAACUUUAACCAUGGUUAAUUAAUUAAUUACUUACCAGUCAACAAAUUGAACAGUUCUUUUGGUUUUAAUGGUGGCAACAGCAGCAUUAACAUCUUUAGGGACAACAUCACCACGAUACAUCAAACAACAAGCCAUAUACUUUCCAUGCCUUGGAUCACAUUUAGCCAUCAUGCUUGCAGGUUCAAACACUGCAUUUGUGAUUUCAGGAACUGAUAAUUGUUCAUGGUAAGCUUUUUCAGCUGAGAUCACAGGGGCAUAUGAGGAAAGCAUGAAAUGGAUACGUGGGUAUGGGACAAGAUUUGUUUGAAACUCUGUGAUGUCAACGUUAAUUGCUCCAUCAAAACGUAGGGAGGUUGUUAAAGAUGAUAUGAUUUGAGAGAUUAAUCUGUUUAAGUUGGUGUAUGUAGGUCUCUCAAUGUCUAAUGAUCUUCUACAGAUGUCAUAAAUGGCUUCAUUGUCCAAAAGCACAGCCACAUCUGUGUGUUCUAGAAGAGAGUGUGUAGAGAGAACACUGUUGUAGGGCUCCACAACUGCAGUUGACACCUGUAAAAGGGUAUUUUUGUCAAGAAACGAAAAGGGUUUGAUAAAGAUUGGAUUUUUAGCAUACCCUGUUGGGGGAAAAGGGUUAGGGUUAUUACCUGAGGAGAAGGGUAGAUAGUGAAACCGAGCUUUGACUUUUUUCCAUAGUCAACAGACAAGCGUUCCAACAACAAAGAUCCCAAACCAGAACCAGUACCUCCACCAACAGCAUUGAACACUAAGAAGCCUUGCAAUCCAGUGCAGUUGUCUGCUAGCUUUC
rnacentral:lncRNA from 1 species